CUUCGGUGGAUUUCAGGGAGAUUUGGCAAAUUACCUUUAAAAGAAAGGACAUCUACAGCCUUCUAAAGCUCUGAGAUUUGCUCUUGAUAUUGCUAGGUCAAGUAUGGUUACCUGAUUUGGCAAUUCUGCUUCUAUCCUUGUGCUUCUCUAUUGGAAUGUAACUCUUUAGAGAUGGUUGAAGCCAUGCUGCAUAAGACGAUUUGUGCCAUGUCAAAUUUGUUCAUUGGGUCAUUGGGCUCGACAUUCACUGAGGACAUAUUUCAACUCCGGAAGGACUGGGGAUCAGCUUCGAUUUGUGAUGAGUAUAUGUGCCAAGGCGAGCAACCUAAUUUCAUAGCUGACUUGGAAUGAAGAAGAGUGGUGGUCAUGCUUUUGGUUCUGGACCGUGGUGAGAAGAUUGAGCUUCUGGUAGACAAAACUGAGAACCUCCGCUCACAGGUGGUGAACUUCAAUAUCAUUGAGGGCCUGAACCUGCUAAAGGACUCCGAAAUACUGCUGUUGAUGCCUUUUUUACUGCUACACAGUUCACCAAAGAUGGACAGAAGAAACCAGUCCCUUGGAAACAAUGGCAAUCAUUGGCAACAAGGAGAUCAUUGACAUUAACCAAGGUAUGUUAGCUGCUUAGACUAGUGUUAUAAAAAAAAUAAAAAAAACUAGGAUACA